CCCGCUGCCCUCUCCUCUGCCCCGCCUCAGCCCGCCUCGCACGCUCACCACCCCGUCUCUGCCCUCCUUUUCAACUCCCGCUGCCAUCGCCCCUGCCCUCCCGCCUCCUCCUGCACUCCAACCCCUCCAGCGGCCUCGAUCCCGCGUCGCACCUCUAGCGCCGCCUUCGCACAGGCCCACCCCGCCGUCUCCCAGGCCCUCCAGCGCGCCGCAGUCUCCGUCGCAAUUCAUAUCAGAUUUACCAAGGAGGCAUACCUCUCUCUCUCUCUCUGAUGUGGUUCCUCUCCCUGCUCUUUAACCCUGGAUUCCUAGAACAACAACAAGUUAUCAGGCCUAAUCGUUUCUCUUCUGCAUGUUAAUUAGAGUUCAGAAUAACAAGUUGCAGCAAUCAAGUCACUAAAAGGUAACACGAAUGGAUGAAUUUUGUGUGUCUAGAUUUACUCGAAGUGUUACUAUGUGAUCUGAAUUUUUGAAUCUUAAAUUUCUGGUCUAGCACUCAUGCAGUGUACUAAUGUGUGAGAUAUAUAUGCAUAAUUACUGGUCUUGAAACUGAGACUUAAAUGUCUUGUCAAAUUAGAUCCAGGGAACAUGAUUGAAACAUGAUCCUGAACGUAUUAUCUUUUACAGGUAUGUCUGCCAAAUUAUGGUAUUUAUAUUGUCUCUUAUAUGCUCUUAGACGAGGCCCCUUGACUGAUUGUUAUUGCACCUAGAGAUGGAGUUGGCGAAAACAAAUUCAGCCAUGUCAUUCAAAUCUCAUGUGCAGUUGUUGUUUUUCAUCCCCCUCCAUUUUGAUCAGUUACAAAUGCACAGGAUGACAGCACUUACUUUCUUUAUGCUGACUACCAACAAGGUGUUUUAUAAAUCUCAUGAUGAUACUCAUGUGAAUAAAAAGGUAUAUCUCUGAACCGAUCAAUCAUUUUGACUUCAAACCAUUGAUUUCUCCGACAAUAUAGUAAUGGAAAGCAAUUCAUAUCAGAUUUACCAAGGAGGCAUAUACCUUUCUCUUUCUUAAGUUAGUUGGAAUCUGUUUAAUCUUAUUCUCGAGGUAGACCACGAUAAUUUUGUUUCAUGGCAUAUUACAGGGUAGAACAAACUGGAUACAAAAAAUUGUUAAUACAUAGAAAGAGCUAAUAGUUCUUUUGUGAGUAGUAAUUCAAUUAGCUUGGAUGUACCCUUCUGUAAUUUUGUGUUAAUUUUGUUAUGUAUAUGCCACAAUCUCUUAAUUGAGUGUCAAUAAAGUGGGUUGCAGGGGAGUCAUCUUCAGAAAAUUAAUCUUAGAAUGAUAUAAGUCAAUCUUAGAAUGAUAUAAGUAGAGUAUUUUUACUCUUCAGCUUACAGUUCUAUUUAUACAAACAACAAUAGAGUUAGAGACCCGGUCAAAAAAAAACAAUAGAGUUAGAGUGACUUCUGUUAUACUAAUACAGUAAUGCUUUUUUGUCCGCCAGAUAUAUGGCUGAGUUGCUUGCCGCGAGGCAAAAAAAUGCCCCGUUCCUUCAAGUUCUUCCCUUCUAUACCAGGCCUUAAACCAAGCACCAGGAUGAAUAUUUCUACACACAGGGAUAUCGGCUUGAAGCCUGGCUUGUUAGAUAAUGGUCUCCCCUGAAUUUUUAGCUGGGUCAAUUUAUGGUAAUCAUAUAUGAUUUUCUGCACUUCAUAGAUUUCUUUUUACGAUAUCACAUAUUAAACAUGCAAGAAUUUUUGUUCUUUUUUACUGUGGCAAGAUGACAAGAUUCCUAUCUGAGUAAUUUUACUCCGAAUUUGUACUAAUGAGACUUUCACCUUAGCCAAAGUUGUUCUCCACCAUGCAUCUAUAGGAAACUUCUGCGUUCAUGCAAGGAGCAUACAUAAGUGCAACCUUUCUGUUCAUCCAGUAAUGCAUUCAGGACUAAUCUUGGCUAAUAGAUUGAUUGAAUCAUUCUUGUCAGGCCAUUACUGGCAACAAGCACGCUAAGUAUUGUUUGCACUUUUCUUGAUCAAAAAUGAAAUGAUGAUUUGCAGGUCCUGGGUUGUCUGAUGCUUGUCGAUUUUCUGAAUGGACAGCUUAUUGACGUAGUAACAAUAAUCAUUAAAUUUAUUUCCUAGGUAUUUGCCAUCUGCGUAAUUUUGAAUUGAGUGUUUAUCUAGGCCUGAUGAUGUCUAUUUUCAGUUGCAAACAUGCCAAGAAAUUAUUCUUCGUUUUUAUAGCAUGCUUAGGAUGUUUUAUCUAGAUUCUGAAGGGAUUUCUUGAGCAAUCAGUUUUGCAUACAUCGUGGAGUUUAAAGCCAUGGAUACAACUAAAGACUAAAGUGUAGAAAUACAUGAGUUUUUACUUUUUACAGUCAUAGCUUUCUGUUUCUAUUUCAGUGGACUGCUAUCGAGUAAACAUGUUUUUUCUUAGGCUGUUAUUGUUGCUCUUUGGUUGGCCAGUGCUGGAAAAGAAUCUACGCCCUGGCAGCACUACAAAAUUAGAAGCUUUGGUAGGGCGGUACUUCCCUUUCGUACAUGUUUUCUCUUGGAUAUAUCCUGAUGUUGUGUACGAUCAUGGAUAAUGCCUUGUAUUUUGAUGUAAUAUGAGAGAUUUCAAGCUUGAAUGUAUAUGUUCCAACACCUGUAGCUUCAGAGGACUUGAAGAAAGCAUAUGAGAAUGAAGUACAGGAGAAGCCACUCUGUUAAAGCAGCAAGAAGUGCCCAUUGACUAAAAUUUGAUCAGCCUUCACAGGGGAUAUUUGAGCAAUACGGUUAGCAUCAUUUGUAAACAUAACAUUUGAGUGAGAUGAGCAGCAAUAGCAAGGCAAGUAAUAAUGUUGGGGUAUCUUUUCUUUGUUUAAUUGAUUCAUUUGACUUUUGUGCGACCAAUUGAUUUAAUGGUUUAGGCUAAUAUGACUUAAGUUUUAUGUAAA